rnacentral:rRNA from 1 species
UCCGUAGGCGGUGUGGCAAGCCGGUAGUGAAAUCUCUCGGCUUAACUGAGAGGCUGCUGCCGAAACUGCCAUGCUCGAGUGCGAGAGAGGCGAGUGGAAUUGCGGGUGUAGCGGUGAAAUGCGUAGAUAUCCGCAGGAACAUCCGAGGCGAAAGCGGCUCGCUGGAUCGCAACUGACGCUGAGGGACGAAAGCUAGGGGAGCAAACAGGAUUAGAUACCCUGGUAGUCCUAGCCCUAAACCAUCAGGACUUGGGGUUUGCCCUGUACGGGGCAAGUCCCGGAGCUAACGCGUUAAGUCCUGCGCCUGGGGAGUACGGUCGCAAGGCUGAA